CCUUACUACUUGGAUAACCCGUGGUAAUUCUAGAGCUAAUACAUGCUACAAGCCCGACUUCGGAAAGGGGCGUAUUUAUUAGAUUAAAAGCCAAUGCCCUCUGGGCUAACUGGUGAAUCAUGAUAACUUCACGAAUCGCACGGCCUUGCGCCGGCGAUGGCUCAUUCAAAUUUCUUCCCUAUCAACUUUCGAUGUUUGGGUAGUGGCCAAACAUGGUUGCAACGGGUAACGGAGGGUUAGGGCUCGACCCCGGAGAAGGAGCCUGAGACACGGCUACUACAUCCAAGGAAGGCAGCAGGCGCGCAAAUUACCCAAUCCCGACUCGGGGAGGUAGUGACAAUAAAUACUGAUACAGGGCUCUUUCGGGUCUUGUAAUCGGAAUGAGUACAAUUUAAAUCCCUUAACGAGGAACAAUUGGAGGGCAAGUCUGGUGCCAGCAGCCGCGGUAAUUCCAGCUCCAAUAGCGUAUAUUAAAGUUGUUGUGGUUAAAAAGCUCGUAGUUGAACCUUGGGCCUGGCUGGCCGGUCCGCCUCACCGCGUGCACUGGUCCGGCCGGGCCUUUCCCUCUGUGGAACCUCAUGCCCUUCACUGGGUGUGCUGGGGAAACAGGACAUUUACUUUGAAAAAAUUAGAGUGCUCCAGGCAGGCCUAUGCUCGAAUACAUUAGCAUGGAAUAAUGAAAUAGGACGUGCGGUUCUAUUUUGUUGGUUUCUAGGACCGCCGUAAUGAUUAAUAGGGACAGUCGGGGGCAUCAGUAUUCAAUUGUCAGAGGUGAAAUUCUUGGAUCAAUUGAAGACUAACUACUGCGAAAGCAUUUGCCAAGGAUGUUUUCAUUAAUCAGGAACGAAAGUUAGGGGAUCGAAAACGAUCAGAUACCGUUGUAGUCUUAACCAUAAACUAUGCCGACUAGGGAUCGGACGAUGUUAUUUUUUGACUCGUUCGGCACCUUACGAGAAAUCAAAGUGCUUGGG
rnacentral:rRNA from 1 species